AUGACAUGCUUGCUAUGUUUGCUAAGUUUGGUAGUUAAAAAACAAUUGAGAUGAGGAUUACAGUUCAUAAUGUCAAUGCUAGACCUGAUAAACCUGAAUGGCCAAUAGAAGAGAGUGUUGGAGUGGAUGUCCCUUAGUUGGAACUGACUUAGCAAAUCCAUUUGAGGAAAAUGGACAUGUUGGUGUAAACGAGGAAGACAUGUACUCAGAUGAUAGUGACAAUGAAGGUGAUGCUAGUGAUGUGCCUUGUAAAGAUCCUAACUUUGUGCCCGACGAUAGGGAAAAAUCUUCUGAUGAUGACAUAUCAGAGGAUGAGGAGGAUGAAAUUAAAGAUGCUGAGCCCGUUGACCUUCCAGAUUUUUCAUAUGAUAGGGAAAAUCCACCAAUGACAGAGGGCACAGUAUAUAGUGACAUGCAUGAGUUUAGAGUGGUAAUAGCUUAACAUGCAAUUGCACGUGAAUUCGAUUUUCAAAUUGACAAGACUGAUCCUUCGAGAUUCAGGGCCCAUUGUUGUGAUGAGAAUUGCAAGUGGAGAAUUCAUGCCGCUAGGAUGGAUGAGGGUAGCAUCAAGGUGGUGGUAAACAAACAUGGUCACACAUGCUCAAGCACAAGACAAGAUGAAACAUCCAAACAUACAAACCAGAAUUGGGUGGCUAAUAGAGUCAAAGUUUGGCUCCAUGAAGAUUCUAGUUUGGGACCCAUUGCAUUGCAGACCAAGAUCAGUGAAAAGUACCAUAUGACCGUGCCCUACAAGAGGGUAUACAAGGGAAAGGAGCAAGCACUUGAGGAGUUAUAUGGAUCAUGGGAUCAAAGUUUUGACAAGUUGUAUAGCUACAAGGCAGAAAUUGAUAAGUCUUGCCCUGGUAGCUCUUUUGUCAUUGAUCAUGAAGUAUCGCUUGGAGCGAGAAGGUUCACAAAGCUGUUCUUUGCAUUAAAGCCAUGCAUAGAUGGUUUUCUUACAGGUUGUAGGCCAUAUUUGGCUAUUGACAACACUUUCUUGACAGGCAAAUUCAAAGGUCAAUUGGCAGCCGCAGUUGCUGUAGAUGGCCACAAUUGGAUGUAUCCUCUUGCUAUUGGAGUAAUCGACUCCGAGACAAAGGAAAACUGGGCUUGGUUCAUGGAGAGGCUUAAAGAUGCUAUUGGCACACCAGAAGGUCUCAUGAUUUGCAAUGAUGCGGGAAAGGGUAUUGAUGGAGCUGUAGCUGACAUAUUCCCUAUGGCUGAACAUAGGGAGUGUAUGUGGCACUUGGUAAAGAAUUUUAAGAAGUUUCGAGGCAAGGUAUAUGAUGAUCACCUUUGGCCAGCCGCAUAUGCAUGGAAUUCUUAUCAUUUUAACAAGCACAUAACAGCUAUUCAACAAGCAAGGCCAACAGCAAUAUCCUACUUGCAAAAGAAUCACAUAAGGUUAUGGACCAGGAGCCAGUUCACGACACUCUCAAAGGUGGACUAUGUGACCAAUAAUCUUGUUGAAUCCUUCAACAAAUGGAUCAAGCCUUACAAAGGAAUGCAUCUUCCAGAAUUCAUUGACAAGAUGAGGCACGAGCAAAUGAUCAUGUGGCAUAAGAGAAGGAAGGUUUCUAGGAAAUGGAAAGGCAGAAUUAUGCCACACAUUGUGAAAUAAUUGCAUGAGAAGAGCAGAGGUUUGACAUUUCGGGUAACAAGAACUAGUGACACUGAAGCUGAAGUGCAGUGCAAGGCUGGGAGUGGUUAUAGGCAUGUUGUCAAUCUCAGCAAGUGGACUUGCACUUGUAGAGAGUGGCAGGUUUGCGGAUAGCCUUGUGUGCAUGCUAUUGCAUUCAUUGGGCAUGUUCGAGGGUCUAUAGAGGAUUAUGUUGAUGAUUGUUAUAGUGUGGAAAAGUUUAGGGCUGCAUAUGAGCAUAUCAUUCCUGGAUUGGUUGACAAGUCUCAAUGGCCCAAAUGUGAUCAUGGCUUCUUCCUAGAACCACCUAUACUAAAGAGCGUAGCGGGGAGACGAAGAAAGAAUAGAUACAAAGGAUCCAAAGAAAGGUCAAAAGGGGCUCACAAAUGCCCAAUCUGUAAACGAUAUGGGCACCAUUGGCACAGUUGUAGAGAUGGUGAUCCUGAACAAAAGGCAGCUAUGCUUCUUGAAAGGGGGCCACCAAAGAAGAGGAGAAAGAAGAAGAGUGCCAUACAGGACCCUGAGGCGGCCAUGGUAGUUGCAUGUGCUUCUACAACUGCUCCGGUCAUGGUAUACCCAUCUAGAUCUAUCAAGGGUUCUAAAGAACCAAAACAUGCUUCUGGGGAACAAAAGGAAAAAUCUAAGAAGAGUGCGCCGCGAAAGGGAAAGGGUAAGGCUGCCAAAGAGAAGAUUGCCUCACGAGUUGUUGCUAUUGGAGAGCAGACACCAAAAGGCAAAGAAAAAUGCAGCGAAGUUGCUCCACAUGAUAGCCCAGCCAUGGGUACAAGAAGCAAAAGGACAUCUCAUAGCCCAGCUAUGAGCACUAGGAGCAAAAGAGCACCUGUUAGAUUGGACUUGUAGUGUGUGCUCUGUUUCGGUGUAUGUUUGACAUUAAAACAUGUUGAGACCUCUCUGUUUUGUGUUGUGAUGAACCAAUAUGGUCUUGUAACAAAUUUGAUGUUUGUGAGGGUAUAUUGCUCAUGAGAUGCAAAUUGUGAUUCUAUGCUAAUUAAGCGA